CUCUGUCCCAGAAGACUGAGGCCCAAGAAGUUAAUUGAGCACCUCAUUUCCAUUUGGGAAUCUGUCCCCAAACAUCUACAGUUAAUCUCCUGGGCCAAAGUACCCACAUAGGAAGUAGUUCUUUUGAACUAGUUUCUCCUCUUCCUGCGGAGCCCCAUAUUGUUACCCAAUUCUACCUCUGCUCCAAGGCAGGCAGCACGGGAGCUUCUCUGAGCUCAGCUCCCACCAUUCCUGUUCUCAGUGUCCAUUCCUCUACUCCCAGCCCCACAGGAUACAUAGCCCCCAGCUGACUUAGGGCAGGAAGAGUUUGGCUUACAAGGUGGGAAAGUGGGGAGCCUAAGGUACUUUCUGAGUGUCUGAGGGGUGUGGUUGGGAAUCUUUGUUUCAGAGAUGGAAAAGCAAAAACAGGGCUUGCAGGAAGAAGAGAGCAAGAGUGACUGGAACUUGUUCUAUAGAAAUACCACUGGUAUUGGCAAGGCAUUCGCACAGUUCUUCCCCCAGCCGCAGCUCACCAACCUGGUACUGACAACCGUGGAGGAACUGAGCAGCAGCAGAGCCCAGUUGUCUCUGGCUUCAGCCCAGUUGAUGAGUGCUGUCAUCCAAGAGUGAGGCACAGAUGUGGGGAAGGUUGAGGAGAUUGUAGAGGGCAUCCUGGAACAGCUCAAAUUCCAGAUGGAGCCCAGCACAAAGGAAGAGACCCUUCGGGUCAUGUGCUUGCUUGUGGGUAACCACACCCACACCAUGGUGCCCCU